rnacentral:rRNA from 1 species
CCUACGGGAGGCAGCAGUGAGGAAUAUUGGUCAAUGGCCGAAAGGCUGAACCAGCCAAGCCGCGUGAGGGAAGAAUGCCCUAUGGAUUGUAAACCUCUUUUGUCGGGGAGCAAAGUGACCCACGCGUGGGUGUCGGAGAGUACCUGAAGAAAAAGCAUCGGCUAACUCCGUGCCAGCAGCCGCGGUAAUACGGAGGAUGCGAGCGUUAUCCGGAUUGAUUGGGUUUAAAGGGUGCGUAGGCGGGUUAUUAAGUCAGCUGUGAAAGUCCGGGGCUCAACCCUGGAAGUGCCGUUGAAACUGGGGGGCUUGAGUGUGUUUGAGGCAGGCGGAAUGCGUGGUGUAGCGGUGAAAUGCAUAGAUAUCACGCAGAACCCCGAUUGCGAAGGCAGCCUGCCGGGCCAUGACUGACGCUGAGGCACGAAAGCGUGGGGAUCAAACAGGAUUAGAUACCCGAGUAGUC